CGCCGCGUUCAGGGACGACGGCCUAUCGGGUUGUAAACCUCUUUCAGCACAGACGAAGCGCAAGUCGACGGUAUGUGCAGAAGAAGGACCGGCCAACUAACGUGCCAGCAGCCGCGGUAAUACGUAGGGUCCGAGCGUUGUCCGGAAUUACUGGGCGUAAAGAGCUCGUAGGUGGUUUGUCGCGUUGUUCGUGAAAACUCACAGCUCAACUGUGGGCGUGCGGGCGAUACGGGCAGACUAGAGUACUGCAGGGGAGACUGGAAUUCCUGGUGUAGCGGUGGAAUGCGCAGAUAUCAGGAGGAACACCGGUGGCGAAGGCGGGUCUCUGGGCAGUAACUGACGCUGAGGAGCGAAAGCGUGGGGAGCGAACAGGAUUAGAUACCCUGGUAGUCCACGCCGUAAACGGUGGGUACUAGGUGUGGGUUUCCUUCCUUGGGAUCCGUGCCGUAGCUAACGCAUUAAGUACCCCGCCUGGGGAGUACGGCCGCAAGGCUAAAACUCAAAGAAAUUGACGGGGGCCCGCACAAGCGGCGGAGCAUGUGGAUUAAUUCGAUGCAACGCGAAGAACCUUACCUGGGUUUGACAUGCACAGGACGUGCCUAGAGAUAGGUAUUCCCUU
rnacentral:rRNA from 1 species